rnacentral:rRNA from 1 species
GAUGAACGCUGGCGGCGUGCCUAAUACAUGCAAGCCGAGCGAACAGACGAGGAGCUUGCUCCUCUGACGUUAGCGGCGGACGGGUGAGUAACACGUGGAUAACCUACCUAUAAGACUGGGAUAACUUCGGGAAACCGGAGCUAAUACCGGAUAAUAUAUUGAACCGCAUGGUUCAAUAGUGAAAGACGGUUUUGCUGUCACUUAUAGAUGGAUCCGCGCCGCAUUAGCUAGUUGGUAAGGUAACGGCUUACCAAGGCAACGAUGCGUAGCCGACCUGAGAGGGUGAUCGGCCACACUGGAACUGAGACACGGUCCAGACUCCUACGGGAGGCAGCAGUAGGGAAUCUUCCGCAAUAGGCGAAAGCCUGACGGAGCAACGCCGCGUGAGCGAUGAAGGUCUUCGGAUCGUAAAACUCUGUUAUUAGGGAAGAACAAAUGUGUAAGUAACUAUGCACGUCUUGACGGUACCUAAUCAGAAAGCCACGGCUAACUACGUGC